CGUCUGUGAACCAGGAAGGGGGCUCUCACCAGACACCAAAUCUGCUGGCACCUUGAUCUUGGAUUUCCAGCCUCCAGAACUGUGGGAUGCCUACCACAGCAUGGCUUGACAAGCUGUGCGAUGUCCUCACCUGGGAUCUGAACCAGUGAACCCCUGGACCACCGAAGCAGAACCUGCAAACUUAACCGCUGUGCCGCCAGGCCACCCCACCCACGCUGACCCUACUUCUUGACGGUUCAAACAGCCAGAGUUGCACCCGUUGUCAAAAUGACAUCUGACUUGAAGAUGCGCUCUGGUGAUCAAGAACUCAGCUUUGGAGUCCGGUGGAUCUGCU
rnacentral:lncRNA from 1 species